CACACUAUCAUUAACUGAAUCCAUAGGUUAAUGAGGCGAACCGGGGGAACUGAAACAUCUAAGUACCCCGAGGAAAAGAAAUCAACCGAGAUUCCCCCAGUAGCGGCGAGCGAACGGGGAGGAGCCCAGAGCCUGAAUCAGUGUGUGUGUUAGUGGAAGCGUCUGGAAAGGCGCGCGAUACAGGGUGACAGCCCCGUACACAAAAAUGCACAUACUGUGAGCUCGAUGAGUAGGGCGGGACACGUGGUAUCCUGUCUGAAUAUGGGGGGACCAUCCUCCAAGGCUAAAUACUCCUGACUGACCGAUAGUGAACCAGUACCGUGAGGGAAAGGCGAAAAGAACCCCGGCGAGGGGAGUGAAAAAGAACCUGAAACCGUGUACGUACAAGCAGUGGGAGCCUCUUUUAUGGGGUGACUGCGUACCUUUUGUAUAAUGGGUCAGCGACUUAUAUUCUGUAGCAAGGUUAACCGAAUAGGGGAGCCGAAGGGAAACCGAGUCUUAACUGGGCGUUAAGUUGCAGGGUAUAGACCCGAAACCCGGUGAUCUAGCCAUGGGCAGGUUGAAGGUUGGGUAACACUAACUGGAGGACCGAACCGACUAAUGUUGAAAAAUUAGCGGAUGACUUGUGGCUGGGGGUGAAAGGCCAAUCAAACCGGGAGAUAGCUGGUUCUCCCCGAAAGCUAUUUAGGUAGCGCCUCGUGAAUUCAUCUCCGGGGGUAGAGCACUGUUUCGGCAAGGGGGUCAUCCCGACUUACCAACCCGAUGCAAACUGCGAAUACCGGAGAAUGUUAUCACGGGAGACACACGGCGGGUGCUAACGUCCGUCGUGAAGAGGGAAACAACCCAGACCGCCAGCUAAGGUCCCAAAGUCAUGGUUAAGUGGGAAACGAUGUGGGAAGGCCCAGACAGCCAGGAUGUUGGCUUAGAAGCAGCCAUCAUUUAAAGAAAGCGUAAUAGCUCACUGGUCGAGUCGGCCUGCGCGGAAGAUGUAACGGGGCUAAACCAUGCACCGAAGCUGCGGCAGCGACACUAUGUGUUGUUGGGUAGGGGAGCGUUCUGUAAGCCUGCGAAGGUGUACUGUGAGGUAUGCUGGAGGUAUCAGAAGUGCGAAUGCUGACAUAAGUAACGAUAAAGCGGGUGAAAAGCCCGCUCGCCGGAAGACCAAGGGUUCCUGUCCAACGUUAAUCGGGGCAGGGUGAGUCGACCCCUAAGGCGAGGCCGAAAGGCGUAGUCGAUGGGAAACAGGUUAAUAUUCCUGUACUUGGUGUUACUGCGAAGGGGGGACGGAGAAGGCUAUGUUGGCCGGGCGACGGUUGUCCCGGUUUAAGCGUGUAGGCUGGUUUUCCAGGCAAAUCCGGAAAAUCAAGGCUGAGGCGUGAUGACGAGGCACUACGGUGCUGAAGCAACAAAUGCCCUGCUUCCAGGAAAAGCCUCUAAGCAUCAGGUAACAUCAAAUCGUACCCCAAACCGACACAGGUGGUCAGGUAGAGAAUACCAAGGCGCUUGAGAGAACUCGGGUGAAGGAACUAGGCAAAAUGGUGCCGUAACUUCGGGAGAAGGCACGCUGAUAUGUAGGUGAAGCGACUUGCUCGUGGAGCUGAAAUCAGUCGAAGAUACCAGCUGGCUGCAACUGUUUAUUAAAAACACAGCACUGUGCAAACACGAAAGUGGACGUAUACGGUGUGACGCCUGCCCGGUGCCGGAAGGUUAAUUGAUGGGGUUAGCGGUAACGCGAAGCUCUUGAUCGAAGCCCCGGUAAACGGCGGCCGUAACUAUAACGGUCCUAAGGUAGCGAAAUUCCUUGUCGGGUAAGUUCCGACCUGCACGAAUGGCGUAAUGAUGGCCAGGCUGUCUCCACCCGAGACUCAGUGAAAUUGAACUCGCUGUGAAGAUGCAGUGUACCCGCGGCAAGACGGAAAGACCCCGUGAACCUUUACUAUAGCUUGACACUGAACAUUGAGCCUUGAUGUGUAGGAUAGGUGGGAGGCUUUGAAGUGUGGACGCCAGUCUGCAUGGAGCCGGCCUUGAAAUACCACCCUUUAAUGUUUGAUGUUCUAACGUUGGCCCCUGACCGGGGUUGCGGACAGUGUCUGGUGGGUAGUUUGACUGGGGCGGUCUCCUCCUAAAGAGUAACGGAGGAGCACGAAGGUUGGCUAAUCCUGGUCGGACAUCAGGAGGUUAGUGCAAUGGCAUAAGCCAGCUUGACUGCGAGCGUGACGGCGCGAGCAGGUGCGAAAGCAGGUCAUAGUGAUCCGGUGGUUCUGAAUGGAAGGGCCAUCGCUCAACGGAUAAAAGGUACUCCGGGGAUAACAGGCUGAUACCGCCCAAGAGUUCAUAUCGACGGCGGUGUUUGGCACCUCGAUGUCGGCUCAUCACAUCCUGGGGCUGAAGUAGGUCCCAAGGGUAUGGCUGUUCGCCAUUUAAAGUGGUACGCGAGCUGGGUUUAGAACGUCGUGAGACAGUUCGGUCCCUAUCUGCCGUGGGCGCUGGAGAACUGAGGGGGGCUGCUCCUAGUACGAGAGGACCGGAGUGGACGCAUCACUGGUGUUCGGGUUGUCAUGCCAAUGGCACUGCCCGGUAGCUAAAUGCGGAAGAGAUAAGUGCUGAAAGCAUCUAAGCACGAAACUUGCCCCGAGAUGAGUUCUCCCUGACUCCUUGAGAGUCCUGAAGGAACGUUGAAGACGACGACGUUGAUAGGCCGGGUGUGUAAGCGCAGCGAUGCGUUGAGCUAACCGGUACUAAUGAACCGUGAGGCUUAACCUU
rnacentral:rRNA from 1 species